AUUGAACGCUGGCGGCAGGCCUAACACAUGCAAGUCGAGCGGAUGAAGGGAGCUUGCUCCUGGAUUCAGCGGCGGACGGGUGAGUAAUGCCUAGGAAUCUGCCUGGUAGUGGGGGACAACGUUUCGAAAGGAACGCUAAUACCGCAUACGUCCUACGGGAGAAAGCAGGGGACCUUCGGGCCUUGCGCUAUCAGAUGAGCCUAGGUCGGAUUAGCUAGUUGGUGAGGUAAUGGCUCACCAAGGCGACGAUCCGUAACUGGUCUGAGAGGAUGAUCAGUCACACUGGAACGGAGACACGGUCCAGACUCCUACGGGAGGCAGCAGUGGGGAAUAUUGGACAAUGGGCGAAAGCCUGAUCCAGCCAUGCCGCGUGUGUGGAGAAGGUCUUCGGAUUGUAAAGCACUUUAAGUUGGGAGGAAGGGUUGUAGAUUAAUACCUUGCUGUUUUGACGUUACCGACAGAAUAAGCACCGGCUAACUCUGUGCCAGCCGCCGCCGUAAAAC
rnacentral:rRNA from 1 species